rnacentral:tRNA from 1 species
GGGCCGGUCGUCUAGUGGGAGGAUACAGUAGUUGCCUCAGGCCGCCUUCGCACGGCGGUGGUCCCGGGUUCGAAUCCCGGCCGGUCCACCA